UUGCCAAUAGGACUAAACAUUCGUACAGGUCUUAAACGCAUCUCAAGAAAUGUAUCAAAAGUCACUUGCAGCAGGAGCAUGCAGAAACAGGAGCCAGGUCAAGAAACAAGUCUUGUAAUCGGAGAUAACAGCAUUUUCCGAAAUCUUGGGAAACAUCAUAGAAGAUAAUGAUCAGCAAAACAAAGGAAGGAUGAGGGAAGGAAAGGAACUUGAUGCAGUGACCCUAAGAUCUCCAAGUGAGAACCAAGGAGAACCAUCAAAGCAGUCUAAGCAGGCAGGAAAAACUGGCAAAGAUCAGGAUGUGAAUAGACCAGCUAUUGAACCUACAUCUCAUCGACGGCUUUGGAGUAAGGCCGAAAAGGCAGCAGUAUGGCAACAGCUUUGCCAAUAUGUAACCUUAGAGAGUUCCUGGUAAAGAACCAUGUCUUGAAGCACUUAAAGUUGAGCCUGCACUGAGAAGCCAAACUUGGAAAGA